AUACGUAGGUGACAAGCGUUAUCCGGAUUUACUGGGCGUAAAGGGCGUGUAGGCGGUCUUGCAAGUCAGAAGUGAAAUUCCUGAGCUCAACUCGGGCGCUGCUUCUGAAACUGCAGGACUUGAGUGCUGGAGGGGAUAGCGGAAUUCCUAGUGGAGCGGUAAAAUGCGCAGAUAUUAGGAAGAACACCGGUGGCGAAGGCGGCUAUCUGGACAGUAACUGACGCUGAGGCGCGAAGGCGUGGGGAGCAAACAGGAUUAGAUACCCUGGUAGUCCACGCCCUAAACGAUGAAUGCUAGGUGUAGGGGAGUCAUCUUCUGUGCCGCAGCUAACGCAAUAAGCAUUCCACCUGGGGAGUACGGCCGCAAGGUUGAAACUUAAAGGAAUUGACGGGG
rnacentral:rRNA from 1 species